rnacentral:lncRNA from 1 species
CCAGAAAGUUUCCCUGGCUCUAAGAAAAUGCUCGCUGUCUCUCCUCUGUGGUACCUCGGCAUUUUAAGGACACCUGUCCUUUUGUUUAUCACCUAUCCUGACUCUGUCCCCCACUGGACUCUGAUCUACCCGAUGAAAGGGGAAUGCUUUACUUACAUGUCUUUCUUCCACCUGUACCUCCUAGUAACUGUACCUCCUGGUACAAGGCUCAGUUAUAACAAAACUAUGUGCUCCCAGGGCCACCAGGAGGUGAGUUGGGACAUCUGUGCUUGAAUUAAAUAACUCCCCAGUGUCCUCUCUGUGGUUUCCCUUUCUUCCUCUUUUCUCUUAUCUUUACUUCUUCCUUCCAACAGUUUCUAUGAGUUUCCCCACUGAGAAUUGUGGCUGAGAUUUUGUUGUGUAGCAGGUGCUGUCGAGAUGUGAAACUUCAGCUAGAAGACGAGGCAGCUGAAUACCAUACAGAGAAAUGUCCCUGGGGCAUGGCAGCUCAUCUCUUACCUUUUCCCACCUGUCAGCUCCUGGUGAGUAAAUAGUACGCGUUUCUCAACAAGGACUUAAAUCAUUUAGAUCAUUUAAAUAUACUUGUAACUAACUGGACAGUCUUUCAUCACAUAAACGGUCCCUGAAGGGAAAUAAAAUGACUUCAACCUUUCUGAAUAAAUGGAUAUGACUGGGACAUCUAUGCAUGUCAUAUAAAACACUGGAUAUUAGGACUCCUAAGAAUUAUCAUUAUCUUUGCCAAGAAAGGGGAAAUCACUUUCUCAGGACCAAGCGGAUUGUUCAUGCUGAUGCUAGUUUCAAGUGCAAAUCAUCGG